rnacentral:lncRNA from 1 species
GGUUCCCGUUACUUAUCUUUGGAAUGCCAUGAAUACCAUUGAUCAAGCAACUGGACAACAUAGGGGGUAAGUUCUUGUGCAUUUUGCAUUGUUAGAUUAAGCAUAUUGGUUAGUAGGGUAUUUCCUACAAUUUUGUCAAUACGAUGUAACCUGCACUGCUGUUUCAAUCAACUUGUUGUGAUUCCUUUCAGGCUUUCACUAAAACUAAGUAUUGCUAUUCCUUUAGUUAGUAUUGAAAAAUGGGUACUAUUUUACUAUUUAUAAGAUUUUCAUCUUAUGUGAUGUUUUUUUUUUUUAUUCAACUUUAUAAACUUUUAAAAUGUAAUAUUUCAUGGCGUGUAUGCUAUGCUUUUUUUUUACGAUGAACUAAAUUAUUAUUUUUGCCCUAGUGUAUUCACAUUAAACAGAAAAUAUCAGAAAAACAAAACUCUAGAGGAUGGUUGUUGUUCAAUUCAUCUAUAGAUUAUAAAUGUACAUCUUCCGAGUCCUUUUGGUGAAUUUUUCUUUUGGGGGCAGGAGGAGGCAGUAAGUUUCAUUGCAGUCAUGUUGUAGUUGCGACAAAAAAGGGUGGAAGUACAACAUCUUUACCUCAUAUCGUGGUCACAAUGCACUUACUCUUGUUUAAUCACCAUAUUUAUCUGAUUGGUCAUUGGUAGUUAUCUGCUGAUGAAAUUUGGCUUAGCUUUAUUUAGUAUUUAGAAAUUAUACUAUUUGAUUGUAUCAGUAUAUCAUUAAAGUCUGCUAAUUGCUGGGAUUUGAAGGCUACAAUUUUAUGAAAUCUUUUGAGUUUUUAAACUCUGCAACUAAUCUUGUUGCCCUCCAUUUAUAUUUCGACAUUGGUAUUUCAGGUACAUGAUUAUUUCAAGGCUUAACAGGGCACCGUCAAUACUUUAUACUGUGGUACUGUAUUACUGGUUGAUUCUUUGUCAAACCAUUGGAGAACAUAGAUAAAUUAUCUAAUUUCAUGAGUUUUUUAUAGUUUGUUUUGUUUAUGCUUCAAGCAAAUCAUCUGUGCUUGUAGAUUACAGUAAAUACUUACUUUAAGACUAUCUGCAGAGUUGUAGACAUGAAAGUUGGAGCAGUGUUGCCAAAUUUCUAACCGAAGAUGUUCCUCGCCUUUUAAAAUCAGAUGAUCUGAAAGACAUUCAGGAAGUACUCUUUGUUGUUUUUAAAUCUCCUCCUAGCGAAUUGAGAGAGUUUAUCACUUGGAUUGCUGAGGUUCGUAGGCAAGAAGACGGGAAUCUCACAUUGAGCGAGGAGGAGAAAGGAAGGCUAGCAAUCAAGGUUUUGAAAUUACUUACUUUUCUGUUAGGGGAAAAAUUAUCUCACUCUUGAAUUCGAUAAACAAACAAUCAUAAUGCUUGGGUGGUUUGAAAUUUCAGGCAGAUGUAUUGGAACAAAUUCGGUCAACUGCACUCUUCAAACACGUGACAACAUGGUUGGAUUCAGAAAGGUCGUGUUGUGAUACCACUGCAAGCCUUGAUGACAAAGAUAUGUUAUCGGCACUUGCUACACGUGUUUGCUGCCAAGGGGCGGAUCUCUUGACUGGUUGUCGUUUGUCAGGUGGAAAAUGUUGUAGUCAAAUAAAUGUAAAGCAUCUGAAUGUUGAUAGUGAAAAUCCGGUAACAUUGAUUUCCGGAACCGUUACAACUGGAGGCAAUAGUGAACAAGGAGUUGAUGUGUUGGUCCCUUUGUGUCAAAGGAAGCCGAGUAGCUUGUGUCUCUGUAAUGAAGGUCAAUGCAUUGGAAUGCACCCUUCUACUGCAGAUGUCUUAACAGUGCUUUUAUUGGCCUUGCCCUUGCAUACAUGGUCAGGCAUUAAAGACGAAAAGCUGCAUCUGGAAGUUGCGAGCCUUCUAACAACCGAAAAUCUCCUUCCCUUGCUUUCGGAAGAGGUAAUGUGCAUUUCUUAAGAACCAGUUUUCCAGUCCUUUUUUAAUCUAAAAUUUGAAAAAUUACUAAAAGUUCUCUUGAUAAAAAUAUGGACAACAACGAAACAAUGUGCAGUGAUUUUAUGCAGAAUAAAAGUGACUAUUUUGUCUAUAUGGUCAAUUUUGCCUACAAAAGGAGUUCAAGUUUAGCAAUUUUCCCCAUAAAUUUACCAUAUCUUAAAUUAAAGGGUAAAUUACACUUUUCAUGUUUGUAAUAUUCAUCCAAGUUAAUUCAGUACACUUAGUUUAAAAAUACAUUUUUAAUUUUUCUAGUUUUGAAAACAUACAAUUCAGUUUCACUUGAACGCCUUGAAAGGCCAUUUACCAUUUCAUUCAUAUAUAUAUUUGGCCGAGAAUUCUCCGAAAGGUACUUAACUAUUUUCCUUACUCUAUUUUCUACCGUUACUGCUACAACUAGAAUAGAUACCAUGAAAUUGUCAGUAAAAAUGGAUUUAUGCCUUUCUCAUUGUUAUUCCUUGUAUAAAUAGAGAUUAUAGUCUAUACUAGUAAUUUCAAUAAAUAAUUACAAUUAAUGAGAACAAAUCAAUUUCUGAUUUGUGUAACUUAUUCUAGAGACAAAUUGAUAAAUAUAAUUAAUGAGAUUAAUCAAUUCCUGAUUCACAACUCCCCUCAAAUUGAUGCGGAUGAUCAAGUAGCAUCAAUUUGUUAACAAGAAACUGAUGGCGCGGACGAGGAACAACUUUAGUAAGAUCAUCUGCAAUUGAGUGUUGGCGCGAGGAAGUGAAAUAACAUGAUUAUCACAGGUCUCCCUAAUAGAAUGACAAUCUACUUCAAUGUGCUUUGUGCACUCAUGAAAAACAGGAUUGGAAACAAUUUAAAUGGCACUUGUAUUGUCAGCAUAGGGAGAUGUUGGCUCUGUUUGAGGAAACCCAAGUUCAGACAAAAGACCACAAAGCCAAAUUAUUUCAGAACAAGCAAUUUGAAUUUGUUGAUUGUCGUGAUAAGAAUGUAAAUUGUGCAAAUACGCAGACGAACCUAUCAUGUGAUUCGAUGCACCAGAAUCAAGAAACCAUGGAUGAGAAACAUCAGAAAACUUACCCUGGAUGCCCAAGGCUGAAAGUGCAUAAAGUACCAUUUUUUGAAUCAUUUCAGGCUAAAUGGUACCGCCCUCAAAUGCACCACUAGAAGAAGGACCAACUACAAGUCUUGUCAUGGCAUGGAAUGCCUGCAUCGAACGUUGUGUGGGUCGUGGGGGACGUGUGGGACAGUCAGAGAUGAGAUGACUUUGUUCUUUGUAGUAAUUACAAAACUUCUUACUGCAACUACGAGCAACAUGUCCAAAUUGGUUGCAUGAGAAGCAUUGGACCUGUCGCAUAUCACGACCUUUACCUCUACUCUGGGCAGCAUAUGCAAGCGUCACAGGUUCAGAAACAACAUCAUGAGACAUGGUUCCUUGAGUAAGGAGACGUUGCUCCUCCGUGAGAAGCUCACCAACACAUGUAUCCGAAGAGGGAACAUGACUUCUAUUCAGUAAAGCACCUCUAACAGCCUCAAAUUUCGGACGAAGCUUCAUGAGAAAUUGAUCCCUCCUACUGGUAUUGUAGACAAUUUGGACAUCCACGAGAGAAGUCUUGGGAACAGCGGCAUGUAUAAUGGCAGAGUGUUAUGUCCACAAAUUUAAAAACCAGAAUAGUAUUCCUGAACAGACAAAUUACGUUGUUUGUAAUUGGUUAUCUUUAGCUCCAACUGAAAACGUUUGGCUGUAUUGUCUUGGUUGUAAAUACGCUCAGUUGAGAAAGAGCGCAAAUUAUUGAUCAUUUGAGGAUCAAUAGUACUGAGAGUCCAAGAAAUAAUUUGAGCAUCUUUGAUUUCCCACGCGUCUAAAGCAACUGUCUCUGGUGGUGCCUUAAAAAUCUCAUCCAAGUGACUCCAUAAUGCUCUCCCUUUGACAUACAUCUUGAGUUGAAAUUCCCAAGUAGCGUAGUUAUUUCCGGUGAAGCGAACACAAAACUAAUCUCUUUCUUUUUCCAAAGCCAUGAAAACUAGUAUUGUUGCAGCCAACAACAAAAUGGACGGGACAGCAAAACGUGAACAUCACAAAAUCACAACUUGCACUGGUAAAUAGAGGUUGGAACCUAACACGUCCACAAACUUAGACUUGUGAACAAGAAUAAGUGAACAAAUACAAUCACAAGCCAAAAUCGAAUCAGAAAUCAGAAACACAAGCGAACAAAUUCGACGACGAACAAACUUGAUCCCGGAAUCACAAAUUGAAGCAGAAAUUCAAUUGCGACCAAGGAGAAUCAUAUUUCAAGCAAGAGUUACGAACAAUGACAACCGAGAUCAAGAAACCACGAGCAAGAAAGCAGAAAGGGAUUUCGAAAAAUUCGAAAACCUAAACUCCAAGAAAUUUAGGAUCGUAACAAGCUGAUACCAUGUUAGUAAAAAUGGCUCGAUGCCUUUCUCAUUGUUAUUCCUCGUAUAAAUAGAGAUUAUAGUCUAUACAGGUAAUUACAACAAAUAAUUAUAAUUAAUGAGAACAAAUCAAUUUGUGUAACUUAUUCUAGGGACAAAUUAAUAAAUAUAACUAGUGAGAUUAAUCAAUUCCUGAUUCACAGAAUAUGUUGCCUUUUUUUUAAUGUAGAGUUUAUUCCAAAUUUUCCACCAAAAGGUUACUCUAUCUGAUAUUAGAGAAAAUUAAAUUAAAUUUUUGAUCAAAAUGGAGUUAGUUGAUCCCUGUCCAACCCGUCUAUAGGAAAAAGGCUUGAGCUGAUUUAAUGUUACCAUUGCCUAAUCUACAGUAAAGUUUAUCUGGGAACAAAAUUCAAGUGGUAAAAUGUAGCUUACAAUUAAUUAAAUCUGCUUGCCCUUAUUUUACUUAGUAUGAAACCAUAUAGCUCUUUUUCCUUUUUAUGUGUUUAUACUUAUAGCCCUUGAAAUCUCAUCCAAGAAUUUAAUUUUAAUACUUAAUACCAUUUGUUCAAUUCUCACAGUAAUAUCAUGACACAAUUGAAGAGAUAUUUAAUUAAUUCAAUCUUUACAUUUCAUAUGAUGGUGAUACUUACCAACCAGUUAUUCAUGAUCCAGGUUUUGUUCUUGCGAGAGCAACUUCACUCUCUCAUGACUGAUAAUGGUGCUCCUACUCCUUCCAACUGAUGAUACUCUUAGUUUUAGCUUAUGUAACGGGCUCCUACAAUAAAAUUAAAUUCGACCCGGUUUUAGCAUCGGUUCAAUACAUAACAUUCACAUGUUGUAGUGGUCAUGUUGAAUAGGUCAAAAACCAACUAUAGCUUUACCUUUGUGUGUAAGGGAUUUAAAACUGCAUAACUAUAAAAUAAUUGUGUACACAUGGGAAGAAUAGCAUGUGGAUCGCAUUACACAUUGUUGGAAGAAG